AAGUCGUAACAAGGUUUCCGUAGGUGAACCUGCGGAAGGAUCAUUACCGAACCGUCGACACGAGUUGUUGCUGGUCCUCAAAUGGGGGCAUGUGCACACUCUGUUUACUCAUCCACUCACACCUGUGCACCCACUGUAGUUCUGUGGCUUGGGGGGCUCUGUCCUCUUUGCUGUGGUUCUAUGUCUUUACACACACACUGUAAUAAAGUUUCAUGGAAUGCAUGACGCGUCUAACGCAAUACAAUACAACUUUCAGCAACGGAUCUCUUGGCUCUCGCAUCGAUGAAGAACGCAGCGAAAUGCGAUAAGUAAUGUGAAUUGCAGAAUUCAGUGAAUCAUCGAAUCUUUGAACGCACCUUGCGCCCUCUGGCUAUUCCAGAGGGCAUGCCUGUUUGAGUAUCAUGAACACCUCAACUCUCAUGGUUUUGCCGUGAUGAGCUUGGACUUUGGGGGUCUUGCUGGCCUGUGGUCAGCUCCUCUCAAACGAAUCAGCUUGCCAGUGUCUGGUGGCAUCACAGGUGUGAUAACUAUCUACGCUUGUGGUUUUCCACCAGGUAACCUUCAGUGAUGGAGGUUCGCUGGAGCUCAUAAAUGUCCCUCCUCAGCGAGGACAGCUUCUUGAAUGUUUGAUCUCAAAUCAGGUAGGGCUACCCGCUGAACUUAA
rnacentral:rRNA from 1 species